UUCUGUGGCCUGGGCCCAGGAUUUUCGGGAGAUUUUCAGGAAUCACCUUUCACAUUGAGUCGAGUCGUACAACAUAGACCUUACAGAGGUCUGAUGCCACAUUUGCACUUUGAGCAAAAACACACAGUUACUUUAAUCACCCUCGAAAUACCUAUCUGUACUUGUUUCAUUCAAUUAUUUUUUUGUCCUAUCCAUAGAAUUUUGGCAGCUCAACUUGAGUGUUGAUACCUACAAAAUUUUGAGUCUAAGGUCACAUGUCAUGUGGCUGUUGCUUUGAGAGGAACCAGGAAAUCUUUAUUGGAAUGCCAGGGUUCCUUUUUGUGUCCACUGAUGUUUGUCUAUGGUAGCCAGGAAGACUUGUGUGUGCUGGGCUGGUAGUAAUACAAGAGGUAAACCCCGGACAGUUUCUGCACAAUGAAGUUGUGCCUGUAGAGCUCCAGAAAAAUGUCUCUCUCCUCUGACCUUUAUUUAACGAAGGGACAACAAGCGCCUUGACUUCUUUCCCUUUCCUCUUUAGGGAAGACAUUCUUCCAAGUAUCAAGAAAGUGAGCCCUUGCUUCCCUAGAAGACAUUUCGUUCCAGCAAUCCCUCUCCAGUUCCAUGUGACCAUUCCUACUCUGAGCCAGUAUUGGAAAGAAAGUCAUCUCACAACCUUGGAAGGCAGAGAAUCACAGAUAAUCAGGGAAGACAUU
rnacentral:lncRNA from 1 species